UGAAAUGUUACGACGGCUUUGUAAAGUGUGUUGGUUCCUGCCGGAUGAACGCUGGAACGAGCGCUGCCGUAUCAGAAGUGCGAAUGUUGACAUGAGUAACGAUCAAAGAGGUGAAAAACCUCUUCGCCGAAAAUCCAAGGUUUCCUGUCCAACGCUAAUCGUGGCAGGGUGAGGCGGCCCCUAAGGCGAGGGCGAAAGCCGUAGUCGAUGGGAAACAGGUUAAUAUUCCUGUACUUCUUAUAAUUGCGAUGGGGUGACGGAGAAGGUUAGGCUAGCACGGCGACGGUUGUCCGUGUUCAAGGUUGUAGACUGAGAUUCUAGGUAAAUCCGGAAUCUCUUAAGGUCAAGAACUGAUAACGACCACUCUUUUGAGUGGGAAGUAGUCGAUACCAUGCUUCCAGGAAAAACCUCUAAGCUUCAGAUUAUAAGAAACCGUACCCCAAACCGACACAGGUGGAUAAGUCGAGAAGACUAAGGUGUUUGAGAGAACUAUGGUGAAGGAACUAGGCAAAAUGGUACCGUAACUUCGGGAGAAGGUACGCCACCAUUGGUGAUGAGACUUGCUCUUUAAGCUGAUGGUGGUCGAAGAUACUAGGUGGCUGCGACUGUUUAUUAAAAACAUAGCACUCUGCAAAAUCGUAAGAUGACGUAUAGGGUGUGACGCCUGCCCGGUGCCGGAAGGUUAAUUGAUGGGGUUAGCUUCGGCGAAGCUCUUGAUCGAAGCCCCGGUAAACGGCGGCCGUAACUAUAACGGUCCUAAGGUAGCGAAAUUCCUUGUCGGGUAAGUUCCGACCUGCACGAAUGGCGUAACGAUGGCCACACUGUCUCCACCAUAGACUCAGUGAAAUUGAAAUCGCUGUUAAGAUGCAGUGUACCCGCAGCUAGACGGAAAGACCCCGUGCACCUUUACUAUAGGUUUACACUGGACUUUGACCUUACUUGUGUAGGAUAGGUGGGAGACUUUGAAGCUGAGACGCCAGUCUUAGUGGAGUCAUCCUUGAAAUACCACCCUUGUAAGAUUGAAGUUCUAACCUAGGUCCAUUAUCUGGAUCAGGGACAGUGUAUGCUGGGUAGUUUGACUGGGGCGGUCUCCUCCUAAAGAGUAACGGAGGAGUACGAAGG
rnacentral:rRNA from 1 species